ACAGAGGUCCCAAGCGUUGUUCGGAUUUACUGGGCGUAAAGGGUGCGUAGGCGGUCGGGUAAGUCUGGUGUGAAAUUUCAAAGCUCAACUCUGAAACUGCAUUGGAUACUAUUCGGCUCGAGGUUGGGAAGGGAGACUGGAAUUCUCGGUGUAGCAGUGAAAUGCGUAGAUAUCGAGAGGAACACCAGUGGCGAAGGCGAGUCUCUGGACCAAUCCUGACGCUGAGGCACGAAAGCCAGGGGAGCAAACGG
rnacentral:rRNA from 1 species